GUAACGGAGGCGCCCAAAGGUUCCCUCAGCCUGGUUGGCAAUCAGGUGUUGAGUGUAAGUGCACAAGGGAGCUUGACUGUGAGACCGACGGGUCGAGCAGGGACGAAAGUCGGGACUAGUGAUCCGGCGGUGGCUUGUGGAAGCGCCGUCGCUCAACGGAUAAAAGGUACCCCGGGGAUAACAGGCUGAUCUUCCCCAAGAGUCCAUAUCGACGGGAUGGUUUGGCACCUCGAUGUCGGCUCGUCGCAUCCUGGGGCUGGAGUCGGUCCCAAGGGUUGGGCUGUUCGCCCAUUAAAGCGGUACGCGAGCUGGGUUUAGAACGUCGUGAGACAGUUCGGUCCCUAUCCGCUGUGCGCGUAGGAGUCUUGAGAAGGGCUGUCCCUAGUACGAGAGGACCGGGACGGACGAACCUCUGGUGUGCCAGUUGUUCUGCCAAGGGCAUGGCUGGUUGGCUACGUUCGGGAGGGAUAACCGCUGAAAGCAUCUAAGCGGGAAGCCUGCUUCGAGAUGAGGACUCCCACCCACUUGAUGGGGUAAGGCUCCCAGUAGACGACUGGGUUGAUAGGCCGGAUCUGGAAGCACGGUAACGUGUGGAGGUGACCGGUACUAAUAGGCCGAGGGCUUGUCCUCAGUUG
rnacentral:rRNA from 2 species